AAAAGAAAAAGAAAAAAGAGCCCACCCAACCCCUACCUCGCUCUCUCCCCACGAACCUCUCUGUCUCUCGCGACUCCUCUCUCCCCCACGAGCCUCUCUCCCUCGCUGCCGCCACCACCCACGCCGGCCAGUUCCGGCGAGCUCUGCGGCGCGCAGCACACCCCCGAGCUCCCCUAGGUCCGCUCCACCUCCCCCUCCAUCCAGAAUCGGCGCUCCCGCCCUCCACCGUCCCCGUGGCUAGCUAGGGUUUCGGCCGCCACCCCUAACAUCGCCAGGAUCAGCCAGAUCCGGCGACGGCGAGGCCAGAGCUCGACGGAUCCAUUACCGGCGUGUCGCAGGUAUGUCCUUCCCCUCUUUCCUCGCCCGGAUCCACCCUCCCCACCUCACCUUCUCCUUUCCUUCCCUUGCUGCAGGUCACCUUGGCACGGUCUGGACGACGACGACGGUAGGAGGGUGCCGUCCUUCCUACUGGCGCACCUAGCUGGCGGCUCUGUCCUGCUCGAGGAGGCGGGCUGCCUAGCUCAAGCACGGCCACGACGGCCCACCUCGGCAGGUAGGUACCGCUUAUGUACUGGAGCCUUGAUCUUAAUUUUUCUUCAUUGAUGUCCUUGGAGAAGAUGGCCAUUGGAGUGUAGGGGAGGAACAACCUUGUCUUGCUCAAGGAGGACCACCCGAUCUCGACGACGGCACGACAACAGCCUUGUCUCCCCCACCAAUGCCCCUUGGCCUCCUCUAAUGCUGCUGUGGAGUCUUAGAAUGGGAAUGUUAUGUACAUAAAAAAUAUUCUAUGGUCUGUGUUUGCAAAUCCAUGGUUGUUGAAUCAUGUCUGUAUAAGCAUUUGUAAAUAGCUAGCCUUUUUGGCUAAUCUUUUUUUUU